ACUCCUACGGGAGGCAGCAGUGGGGAAUAUUGCACAAUGGGCGCAAGCCUGAUGCAGCCAUGCCGCGUGUAUGAAGAAGGCCUUCGGGUUGUAAAGUACUUUCAGCAGUGAGGAAGGUAGUGUAGUUAAUAGCGCAUUUAUUUGACGUUAGCUGCAGAAGAAGCACCGGCUAACUCCGUGCCAGCAGCCGCGGUAAUACGGAGGGUGCGAGCGUUAAUCGGAAUUACUGGGCGUAAAGCGCAUGCAGGUGGUUUGUUAAGUCAGAUGUGAAAGCCCGGGGCUCAACCUCGGAAUAGCAUUUGAAACUGGCAGACUAGAGUACUGUAGAGGGGGUAGAAUUUCAGGUGUAGCGGUGAAAUGCGUAGAGAUCUGAAGGAAUACCGGUGGCGAAGGCGGCCCCCUGGACAGAUACUGACACUCAGAUGCGAAAGCGUGGGGAGCAAACAGGAUUAGAUACCCUGGUAGGCGU
rnacentral:rRNA from 1 species